rnacentral:rRNA from 1 species
AACGAACGCUGGCGGCGUGCUUAACACAUGCAAGUCUAGGGGAAAGUACCUUCGGGUACGAUUACACUGGCGCACGGGUGAGUAACGCGUGAGGAAUCUGCCCAUUAGAGAGGGACAACAUUCCGAAAGGGAUGCUAAUACCUCAUACGACCACAGAUCGCAUGUUCUGUGGUGAAAGACGGUUUCGGCUGUCGCUGAUGGAUGAUCUCGCGUAACAUUAGAUAGUUGGUGGGGUAACGGCCUACCAAGUCUGCGAUGUUUAACCGGCCUGAGAGGGUGGCCGGUCACAUAGGGACUGAGACACGGCCCUAACUCCUACGGGAGGCAGCAGUGGGGAAUUUUUGCGCAAUGACCGAAAGGUUGACGCAGCGACGCCGCGUGUAUGACGAAGGUUUUCGGAUCGUAAAGUACUUUCAGCAGGGAAGAAUAGGUGUAAUAGUAACUGAUUACAUUAUGACGGUACCUGCAGAAGCAGCCCCGGCUAAC